rnacentral:rRNA from 1 species
AAUAUUGCACAAUGGAGGAAACUCUGAUGCAGCGCCGCCGCGUGAACGAUGAAGGCUUUCGGGUCUUAAAGGUCUGUCCUAGUGGUCGAUAAUGACGGUACCCUAGGCGGAAGCCCCGGCUACCUACGUUCCAUCAGCCGUGGUAAUACGUAGUGGGCAAGCGUUGUCCGGAUUUAUUGGGCGUAAAGGGUUCGCAGGCUGCCUUGUAAGUCAGAAGUGAAAGACUACAGCUCAACUGUGAUAAUCAUUUGAAACUGAAAGGCUUGAGUUAAGGAGAGGAAAGUGGAAUUCCUAGUGUAGCGGUGAAAUGCGUAGAUAUUAGGAGGAAUACCAGUGGCGAAGGCGACUUUCUGGAAUUAUACUGACGCUGAGGAACGAAAGCGUGGGGAGCAAACAGG